rnacentral:rRNA from 1 species
UGGGGAAUAUUUCACAAUGGGCGCAAGCCUGAUGCAGCCAUGCCGCGUGUAUGAAGAAGGCCUUCGGGUUGUAAAGUACUUUCAGUCGGGAGGAAGGUGGUAAGGUUAAUAACCUUAUCAAUUGACGUUACCGACAGAAGAAGCACCGGCUAACUCCGUGCCAGCAGCCGCGGUAAUACGGAGGGUGCAAGCGUUAAUCGGAAUUACUGGGCGUAAAGCGCACGCAGGCGGUUGAUUGAGUCAGAUGUGAAAUCCCCGGGCUUAACCCGGGAAUUGCAUCUGAUACUGGUAAGCUAGAGUCUUGUAGAGGGGGGUAGAAUUCCAUGUGUAGCGGUGAAAUGCGUAGAGAUGUGGAGGAAUACCGGUGGCGAAGGCGGCCCCCUGGACAAAGACUGACGCUCAGGUGCGAAAGCGUGGGGAGCAAACAGG